CUCCCACCCGGUUGGGACUCUUGAGGACGGAAAAAGGAGAUCAAAACCGGAGAAGCAGAGGAAAAAUCCACGAAACAGAGGGAAGAGAAAAAUUUCAGGUAAAACUUUUCCCCUGAUCAUUGAUUUCCACUUCUUGGAGGGGUUUCUCAGGUUCCAUUGGGUUUUUUCUGAAAUAAUUCAUUGUGGCGGUGUGAGUUGAUUGUUGAGAUGAAAAAAAAAAAGGGGGAAGAUGAAGUUGGAACGGAGGACUUCAUCAUGUCAGUUUAUCAUGUUCCUUUCAUUUUUUUUUUUAGAGAUCUAUACAUGGGGAAAGAGGACUUCAUGUCAACCGAUUGAAACCUGAUAAGUUUUUUCAUUGUGGCGGUGUAGUUGAUUGUUGAGAUGACAAAAAAAAAUCGGGAACAUGAAGUUGGAAUGGAGGACUUCAUCAUGUCGGUUUCUUAGGUUCCUUUCAUUAUGAAAAAAAAAAAAACGGAAAGAUGAAGUUGGAACGGCGGGCUUUUCAUUUCAUUUUUUUUUUCUCUUGUUUUUUUUUUAAAUUUUUGCAUACCUUUUAAGUAUAUGUUUGCUUAGAUUUUGUUAUUUAUCACUUUAUAGAAUAUACAGAGAUGAUGAAUCGAAGUUGGAUGCAUCGUAGGAUUUAUAAAGGAAUGGUGACAGAUGAAUUUAAAAAAUGGAGUUGCUAAGUUUAUUGACAUUGCAAUUUCUAAUCCAUCGCACAUGGAAAAUGGAAAAAUUCUUUGCCCUUGUCUUAAGUGUAAGAAUAGAAAAUUCUUGAUACCUGAUGAAGUGAUGGUUCAUCUCUACAAGAAAGGCUUUGUUGAUGGCUAUCAGACCUGGAUGCUGCAUGGAGAAUCUUAUUCUAGAUCUGAAGAGUCUGAUCCUAAUGCUAUUGAUAGAGGAGUGGUAGAUGGUAUGAACUCUUAUAUGGAUAUGGUUAUAGAUACCAUAAGGAUGUCUGAAUUGAAUAAUGAUGCUAGGGAGGAUUUUGAUGAAGUUCCAAAUCCAAUAGCUGCUAAGUUCUAUGAAUUGCUUAAAGAUGCCGGCGAGUCACUAUGGGAGGGUUGCAGUAAGCAUACUAGGUUAUCAGCAGUUACUCAGUUGUUGAAUUUGAAAUCAGAGUUUAGUAUGAGCAAGGCAUGUUACAAUCGAAUGCUUUUAAAAAUUAAAAGUAUGUUGCCUGAGGAUGAGAAGUUGUCUGAAAAUUUCUAUCAAUCAAAAAAAAUUGUGAAGGAAUUGGGACUGAGCUAUCAAAAGAUAGAUAUUUGCCCAAAUUUUUGUAUGUUGUACUACAUGAAUGAUAGUCAGAAAAUAGACUAUUCUGUAUGUGGUCAUCUUCGAUUCAAGUCCAAUGAGGAGGUGGGCAAAAAAAAUGCAAUAUACCACAUAUGGUAUUGCGAUAUUUUCCUCUUGCUUCUAGACUCCAACGGUUGUAUAUGUCAAGCAAGACUGCAAUGCAUAUGAGAUGGCAUAAGGAAGGGGUUCGACGUGAUUCUGUUGUAAUUUCGCAUCCGACAGAUGGGGAAGCAUGGAAGCAAUUUGAUUUGAUGCAUCCAGAGUUUUCAAGUGAUUGUCGGAAUAUUAGAUUAGGUCUUUGUACCGAUGGAUUCAACCCAUUCACAUCAAGCUCAACACCUUAUUCAUGCAGGCCUAUUUUUUGACUCCGUAUAAUCUACCUCCUGGAAUGUGCAUGGAUAGACGUAAUUUAUUCUUAACAUUGGUCAUUCCUAGUCCAAAGUCACUUGGUAAAAGUAUAGAUGUUUGCUUAAGGCCAUUAAUCGAUGAACUACAGGUGUUGUGGAAUGAGGGCAUUUGCACUUUUGAUGCACAUCGAAAACAAAAUUUUAACAUGAAGGCUGCAAUAAUGUGGACAAUUAGUAAUUUUCCCACUUAUGGAAUGUUGUCAGGAUGGAGCACACAUGGUAGACUUGCAUGUCCUUACUGUAUGGGAGAUACCAAGUCUUUUACACUAAAGGGUGGCAGUAAGAAGUCAUGUUGGUUUGACUGUCAUCGAAGAUUUCUUCCCUCGAAUCAUAUGUUUCGAAAACAAAAAGAUGCAUUUAUUAAAUCCACUAUGGAGAAAAAAGGUCCUAUACUUCGAUUGACUGGAAGGGAAGUGAAAGCUAGAGUAGAACAGUUUGAUCAAGUAGAAGAAGUUGAUCCAAGAGAGGUGUUAAGAUAUGUUGAUGAUAUUGAUGAUGGAGACAAAGUUGAGGAUAUAGAAGAAGAGGAAGAAGAGCUCCAACAUGACCGUGAUGAUGGUGAGACGAGAGACAAUAUCGAGUUGGAACCAGAUGCACCUAGUGACGAUGAUACUAAUUUUGUUUAAUAUUGCAAUAAGUAUAAUGUUGUGUUUUUUAAAAAAAAAUUAUUCUCUUUAGUUUUUAUGUAUUUAUAUGAGUUUUCAUGAUGUUUUUUACUAUGUGAUAUUUGUUUCAGAAAACAAUAUGAGAUGUUUGAAGAGUUUGAAGAAUUCUAAAGAAGGAAAGUUGGCUCCAAAAAGGGGGAUCACAAAAUAUUGUGCGCAAAUGUCAAAAGGGGGUGAUCAACAUCAAUCUGAAGAUGGAUCUCCGCGACGAUCUCCAUCUAACCACACAACUUGUGAGUUGCAUUUGGCAUGCAUGUUAUUUUUUAUAUUCUGCUGAUGAUAAAUGCAGUAUGGUAUUUAUUGAAUUAAAAACUACUUUUGGAAAUAAUUGAAGUAUGUAAUCAAGAUAUUUAAUGUGAUUAAUGGUUCUUUUCUUAUAAAAGAAGAUUAAAUAGCAGCAUAUUUAAUUACUGACAAUAGCAGCAUAUCUAAUAAAUGAUCUUCACAUGGUCAUGACAUGAAUGCAUAAUGACAUAAAUACCUGUAUUUUGGAUAAAAAUACAGCUCAAGAGACUACACCUCCAAACUUAACGGCAUCUCCAACUAUAGUUAAUGCACCUCAAGAUACCAC
rnacentral:lncRNA from 1 species